ensembl:lncRNA
UUCACGGUGCAUUUUUUAUGGACUAUGUUGAGCAAACCUGGAGAAGCGUCAGCUCAAGAUAUUAUUGUUGUCAUUGCUGUGGAUCUUUACCUGAUACACUGACUUGGUGAGUAAAUGUUUACUCUUAUUCAAACUGAUUUUGUGGCUUCUCUUAGUUUAGCACCAGGUUUAAAAUCUUGCUAGCUAGUUAGUGUUAGCCUAGCGUUGCUGCUGCCGCUGGGCUCGUCUUACUUAAAAAUUAACACCACAGCCUUAAAAACCUUACAUAAAACUAUGUGGUGAAAUUUUCUGUUGAUUGUUUGAAAUAAAUAAGUGAGAUAAGAGCCCAGACAAAAUUCUUCGGGAGGUGCAGCCGUUAGGGGUGGGGUAGGU